rnacentral:rRNA from 1 species
UACGGGGGGAGCAAGCGUUGUUCGGAUUUACUGGGCGUAAAGGGCGCGUAGGCGGCGCAACAAGUCACUUGUGAAAUCUCCGGGCUUAACUCGGAAAGGUCAAGUGAUACUGUUGUGCUAGAGUGCGGAAGGGGCAACUGGAAUUCUCGGUGUGGCGGUGAAAUGCGUAGAUAUCGGGAGGAACACCUGUGGCGAAAGCGGCGCACUGGACCAUAACUGACGCUGAGGCGCGAAAGCUAGGGGAGCAAACAGG